rnacentral:lncRNA from 10 species
UGAGAGUGUUGAGAGAGAGAAUUGAGUGUGUUCUGGAGGGCUGGGGAGGCCUCAUGGAGGCAAUCAGGCUGCUGCUGGGCUCUAAGACUGGGUAGGGCUUAAAUGAACAACUGAGAGGGAGAUGGUGGAACAUCAUGAAUGAAGACUCAGAGGUAUCAACCCCUGAUAAAUACCAUGCACAUUAGAUUCCAACUUUUCCUUCCAAGACAACUCCUGAAAACGUCCACAACCAUAGAACUUCAAUGUCCUGGAAGAAUGCAGAAGAACCCCAACAAUCAAGAACCCUAGGCAGAAAGGGCUAUGGUAUGUGGGAGAGAAUAAGGGCAGAGAAUCUGACAUUUUCACUCUCAGACACAGAGACUAUUCAACUGUAAAAGUCAACUGGUACACAGAGCCACGCUGAUGAUAUUUUGACUUGUUAACGGAGAGAAGAGGAAAUAGAUUACAGGUUUCCCAUGGUUGCAUUAAGA